rnacentral:rRNA from 1 species
AAGCGUUGUGGAAACUAUUCGCUAAAGGGUGUUCGGGAGGCUACGCCGUAAAACAACCCCAUUUCUAAGGUUGACCUCGGAUCAGGUAGGGAUACCCGCUGAACUUAA